CCCUUAGAUGUUCUGGGCCGCACGCGCGCUACACUGAGUGUCUGAGAUACGAGUCUGCCUGGUCCGGCAAGGUCUAGGUAAUCGCUAAAAGACACAUCAUGCUUGGGAUAGAUUAUUGCAAAUAUUAAUCUUGAACGAGGAAUUCCUAGUAAGCGCAAGUCAACAGCUUGCGUUGAUUACGUCCCUGCCCUUUGUACACACCGCCCGUCGCUACUACUGAUUGGAUGUUUAAGCGAGGUUCUCGAACUGCUAGCGACUUAGCUUCGGUGAGGUCGCAGUGUGGGAAGUGAACCUAGCUUUGGUGUCCAGAGGAAGUAAAAGUCGUAACA
rnacentral:rRNA from 1 species